GAUGAACGCUGGCGGCGUGCCUAAUACAUGCAAGUCGAGCGAACAGACGAGGAGCUUGCUCCUCUGACGUUAGCGGCGGACGGGUGAGUAACACGUGGAUAACCUACCUAUAAGACUGGGAUAACUUCGGGAAACCGGAGCUAAUACCGGAUAAUAUAUUGAACCGCAUGGUUCAAUAGUGAAAGACGGUUUUGCUGUCACUUAUAGAUGGAUCCGCGCCGCAUUAGCUAGUUGGUAAGGUAACGGCUUACCAAGGCAACGAUGCGUAGCCGACCUGAGAGGGUGAUCGGCCACACUGGAACUGAGACACGGUCCAGACUCCUACGGGAGGCAGCAGUAGGGAAUCUUCCGCAAUGGGCGAAAGCCUGACGGAGCAACGCCGCGUGAGUGAUGAAGGUCUUCGGAUCGUAAAACUCUGUUAUUAGGGAAGAACAAAUGUGUAAGUAACUAUGCACGUAUUGACGGUACCUAAUAAGAAAGCCACGGCUAACUACGUG
rnacentral:rRNA from 1 species